ACUUAUCAAAUUUCGUAGAACCGAUUUACUUGGCGUUGCGAGGGUUAAUUUUUCUCCAUAUGUAACCGUCCCUGAAUCUAAGAUCUCUGUUUCGCAGAUCUAAUGUUACUUGUGUCCAAGAAGAUUUGUGUUAAAUCUAAAGCGUCCAAUUCGCUUCAAAUAAAUUGGUGGCGACUCCAAAAUUAAGCAAAAUCAAACGAAAACGACUGUUCGACGGGACGACGAAACACCGUAGAACGUCGGAAGGUUUACCGCACAUCGCGGACAGAAACGUUC
rnacentral:lncRNA from 1 species